rnacentral:rRNA from 1 species
UACGUAGGGUGCGAGCGUUGUCCGGAAUUAUUGGGCGUAAAGAGCUCGUAGGCGGUUUGUCGCGUCUGCUGUGAAAAUCCAGGGCUUAACCCUGGACCUGCAGUGGGUACGGGCAGACUAGAGUGGCGGUAGGGGAGAUCGAAAUUCCUGGUGUAGCGGUGAAAUGCGCAGAUAUCAGGAGGAACACCGGUGGCGAAGGCGGAUCUCUGGGCCGUAACUGACGCUGAGGAGCGAAAGCAUGGGGAGCGAACAGG